UCGUCUUUUAUUCUCCAGGUUUCUGGUUUCUCGUGUUUUAUUCUCCAUGUUUCUGGUUCCUCGUGUUUUAUUUCUGGUUCCUCGUCUUUUAUUCUCCGGGUUUCUGGUUCCUCGUGUUUUAUCCAGGUUUGUGGUUCCUCGAGUUUUAUUCUCCGGGUUUCUGGUUCCUCGAGGACAUGUACGUCUGGCCGACGUCGGCCCAAUAUCGAAACGUCGGCCUCUAUACCUAAAACAUCUAUAAAACAUCGGCCUGGCGGAGGCCGAUAUAAUUUGGUCAGUGCUCUGUUCUCCAGCUCAUCAAUCGUCGGCCCUGAGUUGGUUCACGAUCGCGGGCCGAUGCCGCGCUUCUCUGUGUGCGCGUGCCCAGUAUUCGUCUCUUUUAGCCACCCAGAGAGAGAGAAGAGGAUAAUCCCAGCGACAUCUGUGGCUCUGAGGCUUUCAGAAAUAAUCCGCUGAAAUAAUAUGGUGAGCUAUUGUUGCUGUUGCUUCUGAACUACAAAAUGAUUUUUAAAUUUAUUAUUGAAUGAGACUGUACAUUAUAAAUGUAAUGCUUUAACUCUAGAUGUUUGUGUAAAUGCUGUGUGUGCGUUGAGUCCUGCGCUAGUGGGGAGCAGAGUUGCCAUGGAAACGGGGCAUCAACACAAAAACCGUUACUGGCAAGCAGUAAUCUCCGUCUCUAGCUGCAGUUUACACUGUUUUGGAAACGGUUUAGUUUCUUCGGAAAAGUCCGUUAGCAUCUUAGCAGUUUUCAGAUGUUUGUUUGUGUAAAUGCUGUGUGCGCGUUGAGUCCUGCGCGAGCGGGGAGCAGAGUUGCCAUGGAAACGGGGCGUCAACACAAAAACCGUUACUGGCAAGCAGUAAUCUCCGUCUCUCGCUGCAGUUUACACUGUUUUGGGAGGACAGAAAUAAACUCUACAGAACAGAAGUGAA